UCCCUGAUAGUCUAGUGGUUAGGACUGCACACUUGAACUGCUGAGGGCCUGGGUUUAAUCCCUGGUUGGGGAA
rnacentral:tRNA from 1 species